rnacentral:rRNA from 1 species
GACGAACGCUGGCGGCGUGCUUAACACAUGCAAGUCGAACGGAAAGGCCCCUUUGUUGGUACUCUGAUGUCAAACGGGGAAGUAACACUUGAGUAACCUUCCCUUAACUUCGGGAUAACGUCAGGAAACUGGAGCUAAUACCGGAUAGGAAUCAUUUCUGCAUGGGGUGGGUUGAAAAGCUUCAGCGGUUUUGGAUGGAAUCGCUGCGUAUCAGCUUGUUGGUGGGGUAGUGUCUUACCAAAGCUUCGACGGGUAGCCGGCAUGAGAGGGCGACCUGCCACACUAGGAGUGAGCUACGGCCAGGAGUCGUACGGGAGGCAGAAGUGGGGAAUACCGCACGAUGGGAGGACGCGUGAUGGAGCAAGGCCGCGGGCGGGAUGAACGCUUUCGGGUUGUAAAACGAUUUGAGCAGGGGAGAAGCUUGUGCUGAAGGUAACUUAAGCAGAAGCCCCCGGUAACCUAGUG